rnacentral:rRNA from 1 species
UCCGUAGGCGGUGUGGCAAGUCGGUAGUGAAAUCUCUCGGCUUAACUGAGAGGCUGCUGCCGAAACUGCCAUGCUCGAGUGCGAGAGAGGCGAGUGGAAUUGCGGGUGUAGCGGUGAAAUGCGUAGAUAUCCGCAGGAACAUCCGAGGCGAAAGCGGCUCGCUGGAUCGCAACUGACGCUGAGGGACGAAAGCUAGGGGAGCAAACAGGAUUAGAUACCCUGGUAGUCCUAGCCCUAAACCAUCAGGACUUGGGGUUUGCCCCUGUACGGGGCAAGUCCCGGAGCUAACGCGUUAAGUCCUGCGCCUGGGGAGUACGGUCGCAAGGCUGAA